GGGCCGGGGCAUGGCGGGAGGUUUGGGCCUCACCAGGGCGCCGGGGCCUUGGACCGCUCUGCGUCCCAUGUUCUCUGUCCCCGGGCGCCGUCCUCCCCGCCCCCGCGGCCUGUGGCACUGGGCUUGCGUCUGUGGCUCUUGGGCGCAGCGCCCUGCCCGCUCUACUGCGGCGUCUGGCGCGGAGGCGUGGCUUGGCCGGGCCCGCCCACUUCGCGUCCGCG
rnacentral:lncRNA from 1 species